rnacentral:lncRNA from 1 species
CCUUUAUUUGCUCACAAAGAGUCAGUGACUGCCUAGUCUAUCUCAAACUCCCUGCUGGGAAACAGUGGAGAAAAGGUUGUCCUUCACUCAUGGAGCUGACAGCUUAAAUCUAAGAAACCAGCCACUGAAUUGAGGAAGUAGAUUCCACUUUAAGGCAUGAAAAGACUUUCUUCCUCUGAAGUCAAUAGCUGUGAAUGGGCGUGUGUGGUGGGAGCAUUGUGUGGCAGCAAUUCAGGCAUCCUGGAGAGUGGUUUAAAGAUGAGGAAUCCCAGACACAUUUACUUUCCAUCUCCUGAAAUAAUAGGCAUGAAAAUUUUAAAGCAUUUCUUGUCAACUUUCCCCCUAACCUGCAACACUUCCUCCUGCUAUCAUUCUGAGUCAUGGGCAAAUACAUGGAAGUAAAUACAUGCUUAUAAAUACAUAUUUUCUCAGUCAUGUCUCCUAGGAACACACUAUUUUUCUUUUUUACUUACACAGGGAAAGGGAAAAGGAGUAGAAUAAAACAUUGCUAUCAUGAUGGCAAGGAAUCUUGCAUACCACUAUCAGAUGCAUCCUUGGAGCAAGGUAUGGAAUUUACCAUCUUAAAGGUCGGUACAGAGUUCUUCUUGAGAAGAAACCUCACGUAAAAUACUUCAAUCAAUUUCUUAAGAGGUGAAAGGUGAGACAUGAAGGCAAAAGCUGAAGGGACAUAACAAAAAUAAGAAAUAGCUAAACCACUCAGCACAGGAAAAUAAAGGGGGACUGUGGGUAGGGCAACAGAGAAAAAAAGAGACAGGUGGGGCCUGAGAAGCCUAACAGGAGGCUGCAGUCUGCAGAAAUCCAGGUGGAUGGGGGCUCACAGGCAUAUAAGAUGAGGCAGAAAGACAAUCGAAAUCCUAGAGCCUCUUUCUGUCCCCGUUUUCUCUACAAAAAUAUUAAGUAAAAUUGAAUGUGGUCAGUCAUAUGUCCUCCAGAGACUGGGCUGUGGAGGGGACAGAGACAUCACCAGAUCACAGCAGGAAUGUCGAUGGGCCUCUGUGUGGUGAUACGACACAAAGUGGAACUAACUGGAAGAGGAUAUGUGAUGAGAUCACUGUUUUCCAAAUGCACAGAGAGGUGACCUCAAUUACUAGGAGAAGGGCAACAUCUGAAUUGCAUAAGUAACUCUCCAGCUGCUGAAACAAACAGGAGAUAAAAAUAUCAUUACAUCAGCCUUUGCUGUACUCAAGAGUACUAGCCUUCUCUGCUGGCUGAAGAUGCCACGUAUAAUCAUCCUCAGGGCCUUUGAACUUGCUGUCUCUCUCCUUGGAAUGCUCUUCUUGGAACAUGACUCAUUUCUGUCAUCCAGGUUUUGGCUUAUACAUCCUCAGAAAGACCUCAGAUCACCUCUCUGAAGUACCUCACCUCCUCUGGGUUCAGCCAUUUUCUAGCACCUCAUCCUAUUUUCAUAAUCCUUAUAACCACUAAAUAUUUUCUGGUUUACUAAAAUUGUAUUUCACUGACUCAGAAGCCAUCAGUCAUAAGAUGCACUACUAUUAUGUGUAUUCCUAACAAAGCAAAAUGCUGUCAAUUAAAGUAAGACACAAUAUAUUCUUACCAUUUUG